AUAUUUAACAUGCAAAACUUAAAUAUUACUUACAUACCACUUUAAUCCAAAAAUAACCUCAGAAAUACCACUCCGUCUUACUCCGUUCGCUCGGUUUCACGUUCAAGCCCGCUGUAGUAGUUAAAAUCCCUAAAACCUUCGGCUCUUCCCACCGAACGCUUGAGGAAAUCCGGUGCUCCUUCGUCUCUUACCACCGGAAGGAAAACUCAGGUAACGCUUGAGGAAAUCCCGUGCUCUCCUUCGUCUCUUACCACCGGAAGGAAAAAUCAGGUAAGAUCUGCUCCUAAACUCCCCAAUAUCGUGUAUUUUCCCCAUUUUUUCUUCAGCUCGUUUGUCGUUCGUGAGGAAAAGUCUGUAGAAGCUGUAGUAUUCUCAGGCAAGUGAAUAAAGCGGGCGUGGAUUUCUUCAGCCGGAGCAUUACAGCCGGAGUAGUCGGUAGAAGCUCAGUGAACAUAAUUACAAGUUUGACAGCUUAGUUGCUUCAAAUGAGUUCAUCAAAUUCAUCUGCUACGAGGCGCCCACAUUGUCAAGUUUACUGCUACUGUCAUCUUAAGUGUGUUUUAUAUACUUGCUACCGUGGACCCAAUUCUGGAAGGCAAUUUUAUAGAUGCAUGAAUAAUCGAACGGAAGACAAUUGCAGGUACUUUAAAUGGACAGACAACGUAGAAGAGACAACUUCUCGUGUACCUAAUGAAGAUGAAGGCUUUGAAGCUAGGAUGUCAAAAAAGCAAGACUUGAUCAUCUUGUUGAUGAAAGUCUUUAUUGGUCUUGUUCUUGUUGACAUUGCAUUCCGUAUUUAUUUAGUAUAUUGUUGCGUGUCGAAGUAGUCCAAAUGAUGUAGAAGUUUAUUGUAUGGUUGCUGUGUAGUUGAGCAUGAAUGUUUUGAUGAAGUGGAUUGCAACAUUUUGUAAGUUGUUUACUAGUGAAUGAAAUUUCACCUUUUUGUUCAAA